AUUUUUAUGGAACUUUCUAAAUUUAAGGAACAGAAAUGAAACAAACAUCAAAGUUGAGGAAUGAUGGAUAAAAAUAACCCAGCCUUAACCUGUAGCAUUUUAAACAAUAGAACCUUAGUGACAGCUCUUCAAGUCAUUUAUUUUUUUACUUAAAAAAUGGCAAUCAAAAUGCAGAAGCAAUAUCAAAAAUGGCACAUUUGCCGAAUUCUAGCAUACCUGCUUAGUAAUGUGCUUCCAUG
rnacentral:misc_RNA from 1 species